AUCAGUCACUGGGAUUGGCCUUUCCUUGAUUCUCUGCUCCCUGCCUUUUGCGGGCCUGCAUUUUCAUCUCCUUCUAACAGUCAGCCUCAACUCUGCUGUGCUAAAAGUUUCCUUCAACCUACACCUCCUUACUCGUGGACUUCAGGAUGCCUUGAGGUGAAUGUGUUAUAUUCUAAACCACAAAAAAAUGAGACGAGAGAGCCACUGUUUCCUUCAAAUUAGCUACUGUACAUCAAAGAGAAAUGAAAUUCAACCGUGCUGAAGUCACUUGCAGGUGCUCACAAUGAAAGACCUUGGC
rnacentral:lncRNA from 1 species